UGGGGAAUUUUGGACAACGGGGGAAACCCUGAUCCAGCCAUCCCGCGUGUGCGAUGAAGGCCUUCGGGUUGUAAAGCACUUUUGGCAGGAAAGAAACGUCAUGGGUUAAUACCCCGUGAAACUGACGGUACCUGCAGAAUAAGCACCGGCUAACUACGUGCCAGCAGCCGCGGUAAUACGUAGGGUGCAAGCGUUAAUCGGAAUUACUGGGCGUAAAGCGUGCGCAGGCGGUUCGGAAAGAAAGAUGUGAAAUCCCAGAGCUCAACUUUGGAACUGCAUUUUUAACUACCGGGCUAGAGUGUGUCAGAGGGAGGUGGAAUUCCGCGUGUAGCAGUGAAAUGCGUAGAUAUGCGGAGGAACACCGAUGGCGAAGGCAGCCUCCUGGGAUAACACUGACGCUCAUGCACGAAAGCGUGGGGAGCAAACAGG
rnacentral:rRNA from 1 species